AUUGAACGCUGGCGGCAGGCCUAACACAUGCAAGUCGAACGAGUGGUGGACGGGUGAGUAAUGUCUGGGAAACUGCCUGAUGGAGGGGGAUAACUACUGGAAACGGUAGCCAAUACCGCAUACCAUCGGAUGUGCCCAGAUGGGAUUAGCUAGUAGGUGGGGUAAAGGCGCACCUAGGCGACGAUCCCUAGCUGGUCUGAGAGGAUGACCGGCCACACUGGAACUGAGACACGGUCCCGACUCCUACGGGAGGCAGCAGUGGAGAAUGUUGCACAAUGGGCGCAAGCCUGAUGCAGCCAUGCCGCGUGUAUGAAGAAGGCCUUCGGGUUGUAAAGUACUUUCGGCGGGGAGGCGUUACCCGCAGAAGAAGCACCGGCUAACUCCGUGCCAGCCGCCGCGGUAAUUC
rnacentral:rRNA from 1 species